rnacentral:rRNA from 1 species
ACCAGCCACACUGGGACUGAGACACGGCCCAUACUCCUACGGGAGGCAGCAGUGGGGAAUUUUGCACAAUGGGGGAAACCCUGAUCCAGCCAUCCCGCGUGUAUGAUGAAGGCCUUCUGGUUGUAAAGUACUUUUGGCAGCAGAAAAAAAGGUAUCCCCUAAUACGGGAUACUGCUGACGGUAUCUGCAGAAUAACCACCGGCUAACUACUUGCCAGCACCCGCGGUAAUACUUAGGGUGCAAGCGUUAAUCGGAAUUACUGGGCGUAAAGCGUGUGUAGGCGGUUCGGAAAGAAAGAUGUGAAAUCCCAGGGCUCAACCUUGGAACUGCGUUUUUUACUGCCGAGCUAGAGUAUGUCACAGGGGGGUAGAAUUCCACGUGUAUCAGUGAAAUGCGUAAAUAUGUGGAGGAAUACCGAUGGCGAAGGCAGCCCCCUGGGAUAAUACUGACGCUCAAACACGAAAGCGUGUGGAGCAAACACGAUUAGAUACCCUGGUAGUCCACGCCCUAAACGAUGUCAACUAGCUGUUGGGGCCGUUAGGCCUUAGUAGCGCAGCUAACGCGUGAAGUUGACC